GACGAACGCUGGCGGCGUGCUUAACACAUGCAAGUCGAACGGAAAGGCCCUGCUUUUGUGGGGUGCUCGAGUGGCGAACGGGUGAGUAACACGUGAGUAACCUGCCCUUGACUUUGGGAUAACUUCAGGAAACUGGGGCUAAUACCGGAUAGGAGCUCCUGCUGCAUGGUGGGGGUUGGAAAGUUUCGGCGGUUGGGGAAGGACUCGCGGCUUAUCAGCUUGUUGGUGGGGUAGUGGCUUACCAAGGCCUUGACGGGUAGCCGGCCUGAGAGGGUGACCGGCCACAUUGGGACUGAGAUACGGCCCAGACUCCUACGGGAGGCAGCAGUGGGGAAUAUUGCACAAUGGGCGGAAGCCUGAUGCAGCAACGCCGCGUGCGGGAUGACGGCCUUCGGGUUGUAAACCGCUUUCGCCUGUGACGAAGCGUGAGUGACGGUAAUGGGUAAAGAAGCACCGGCUAACUACGUG
rnacentral:rRNA from 1 species